AUUGAACGCUGGCGGCAGGCCUAACACAUGCAAGUCGAACGAGUGGCGGACGGGUGAGUAAUGUCUGGGAAAUUGCCUGAUGGAGGGGGAUAACUACUGGAAACGGUAGCUAAUACCGCAUACCAUCGGAUGUGCCCAGAUGGGAUUAGCUAGUUGGUGGGGUAAAGGCUCACCUAGGCGACGAUCCCUUGCUGGUCUGAGUGGAUGACCAGCCACACGGGAACUGAGACACGGUCCGAACUCCGACGGUAGGCAGCAGUGGGGAAUAUUGCACAAUGGGCGCAAGCCUGAUGCAGCCAUGCCGCGUGUAUGAAGAAGGCCUUCGGGUUGUAAAGUACUUUCAGCGGGGAGGCGUUACCCGCAGAAGAAGCACCGGCUAACUCCGUGCCAGCAGCCGCGGUAAUAC
rnacentral:rRNA from 1 species